rnacentral:rRNA from 1 species
AACCAGACUCCUACGGGAGGCAGCAGUGAGGAAUAUUGGUCAAUGGGCGGAAGCCUGAACCAGCCAAGUCGCGUGAGGGAAGAAGGCCCUGCGGGUCGCAGACCUCUUUGGACGGGGAGCAAGGCCGCCGACGUGUCGGCGGGAGGAGAGUACCCGUAGAACAAGCAUCGGCUAACUCCGUGCCAGCAGCCGCGGUAAUACGGAGGAUGCGAGCGUUAUCCGGAUUUAUUGGGUUUAAAGGGUGCGCAGGCGGCACGGCAAGCCGGCGGUCAAAUCGCGGGGCUCAACCCCGGGACUGCCCUUGGAACUGCAUGGCUGGAGUGCGGGAGGGGCAGGCGGAAUUCCUGGUGUAGCGGUGAAAUGCGUAGAUAUCAGGAGGAACACCGGCGGCGAAGGCGGCCUGCUGGACCGCGACUGACGUUGAGGCUCGAAAGCGUGGGGAGCGAACAGGAUUAGAUACCCCCGUAACU